CAGAUUUGGGGAGCAGACGGUCAAAGCUAAAAUGUCUUCAUUAUUAAAUUUAAACUUCUCGAGCAGAGGGCAACCUGAAAUAAGGUUUUCAAUAACCUCAAUAGUAACAUUGCCGCCAAAAAGGUUUAGGUACUUCAAACAGGGAAAUCCUUGAAAUCCCAAAGGAGGCUCCACUUUAACCCGAUAAAGCUUCAAUCUGGUCAGUUUUUGACAAGAAAAUAUACAAGAAGGUGUGCGGAAAAUCCAAUAGUUUCUGGUCUGGAAAUUCCAAUAGUUUCUGGACUGCCACACCUCAAGAAGCAACUCCUUUAUAUCUUUCCUUGAUAGGAAAAGCAGCCAUGUAUCCAUCUCAGUAGAACUUAUGGAGUAUAAAGUAGAUAUUUUGAACUUAUGAAUUGGGCCGUCAUGAAGUAAAAAAUAUCGUACGAUAAAUCUUAAAAUUUUAUUCCUAGAAACAUUUCUGUAGCAAGAAAAACCCAUAUAUUCUUCGUCAAGUACGAGCUGUGUCAUGGUAGCCCAUUGAUACCUCCACUUUUUAGACAAGAUGCUGGUUCUAACGGCAUCUCUUGUUGGGACUUUUGCUAGGAUGGUUUCAAUAAUGCUUUGAGGCAGAUGACUGAUAUAAUCUUUCCUUGAGAAUUCACCCAUUUAAUAUCCCUGGAAAAGCCUGGAAAUUAUAAUUCUAAUCAUUCCCAAAUUAAAUCAAUAUAAAAAACUAUGCAGUAUGUUUGUAUGACUACAACACCUUAAGGCCAUGUUUGUUUGAAGGGAUUAUAAUGCCCAGACAACAACAUUAUUUUCUCUAAAUUUAGAGGAUUAUUAUCCCAUGUGAUUUCAUUGUAAUCACCUUUUUUUGAUUCAUUUCUAUGGAUUAUAAUAUCUUCUCUCACAAUGUAUUAGAAUUCCUUGAGAAUGCUCAGUUGAGACAAAUAUCCUUACUAAUUCUUUUACGUUUGUCAUGCCAAUUAAUCUAACCAGACGAAGGAAAAACUUUAUGCCAAAUAAAUCAAAUCCUGAAACACAUUGAGUGAAGAAAUCGAUCGGGCUGGCCAUACAGUGAUUUCAAUUUAAGUAUUCCCAAUUCGAUAGAUGAAAAAAAUCUUCAAUUUGUAAAGAAUAGCCUGUAAUCAAAAACCAAUGAAAACCAAAGCAAAUGUACCUAUGAGAAGAGGGUCUGGGAAGGAUAAGAUGUACGCAGCCUUACUUCUAAUUCCAAAAGCAGAGGCCAUUUCCCUAAUCCUAUACUUGUUAGUUCUACUUCUAUCCUAUUAUCUUGGAAGAAUCUAAUGAUAAGAUUGAUAGACUUACAGAUUGGUUGAUAUAUCACUCACAGUUUGGUAAGUUUUUUUAAGUAAUGCAAAAUGGUUGCUGAACAUCAUGUCCGCCUUUCAAUUAGGCAUCUGCCGCCAAUAAUUAUUCAACUCGACUAUAAAAUAAGGACUAGUCAAGCAGCAUAAAAAUAGGGAUAAAUUCUCUAAUAUGCGAAUAAACUAUAGGGAUAAAUUCUCUAAUAUGUGAAUAAACUAUGUACAUUGUACACGCAAAGACCUUAAUUUAAAAUUGGGGAAAUUAUAAAAAUGAUUAAUUAACUAGGUUGGUCUGUUGAUGGGUCGGGUAUUAAUGUAUGCUGAACGAUUAAUUUCUAAAAGAUUUACAAAAAUGUAAUACGAUGCAGUAUUCUAACGGAGUUGAUUAAACUAUAUCAAAGGCGGACAUGGGAUUUAGCUACCAAAUUUGCGAUGGGGAAAUAAAAACCAAAAUGCUCAGGAGAGUUUUUCCGAACACCGUUGUGCAUUUUAACAAAAAGAAAACACGAAGUUAUGACUUCUGAAACAGUUGACAUGCAACAGCCACGCGAGCAAAUCAUUGUGUAUCCACCACAAGUCUACCGAACGAAGCAAUUACCUAUUAAAGCAAAAGAGAAGUAAAAGAGUAUACCAGAGAUUGAAGGUAGUAAUCUUCGUAUGCGGAGCAAUAAUCUGAGAAACAGGAAAAGAAGGGAGGGGGCCGCCGCCAUCCGAAUGGGAGAGGAUGAUAAGUUUUAGUAUAUAUAGGGCCCAUCAGCAAUAGAAGCCAACUACAAUCAUUGGAUCAGAAAGAAUAAAAGGCUCUGAUCAGCCCACUAAAUAAAAAACAGGGGAAUAGAAAAAGGAAAAAAGAAAGAAAAGAAAAUGGCAUUAAGAAAUGACAGUUCACCUUUACACACAGCACAUGAUCGCUAAAUAACACAUUACAAAUAUAAACCACAACUACGCCUCUGCAGACAACAACUUCAUUCACCUAUAAAUCAUUAUUAUUUUUUCUCUUCAACCAAUAAGGACUUUCCGGUUCCACCCCAAUACCACAUUAUUUUAACUUAAUCUUCUUGCCAACUCAAUCUAGACCUUUCUCUCACUUCUGCCAAAUCAGGUGACCAAUUUGUACUGAUUCUUUUCACUGCUGCAAUAUAUGUCUGGCCCAUCAGCAAUUGAAAUAAAUUGCAAUAAUUGGAACAAAAGAAACCCAAGGCUCUCGUUAGCCAACUUGUAAUUUUAAAAAAAACAGUGGAUUUAAGAAAAGUGAUGAUGAAGAUUUUCUUGCCACUUUGAAAACUUUGAACAGAAAAGAAAGACAGCAAUUCAAGUUGAAGAAGGUGAGAGCCGCAGGGAGCUUGUGGAACUUAGCAGUUGCCACUCGGUUUUCAAAGGUGGUUCAGACUCCAAUUGAUAGGGAUAGUUGAGCAUAGAGAAAAACAAUAAGUUGUUUCAGACCAGGUGUUUAAUGAAGUGCUUCACUAAAGACAAUCAUUUCUUCCUUAAAUAUUUUUACAAAAUAAAAGCUUGUGCAAUAAGAAUAUCAGAUUACUCAAAUAUCAACAUAUACGGUAUGCUACCCUAUGAUCCGGUGCAUAUUUAUACAUUAUAGAGUAGGUUGGACCUGAGCAUAAUAUAGGAAGGGACAAAAUAAAAGUUGUAGUAUAUAUAUUGGCUUAUACUCGAAUAAAAAUUAUAAACUCGUCACAGUUGUGCAUCAUUGAUAAUCCAAAAAAUUCACUUGACCAUAUGGAUCAGUAAGUAGUGUUACGACUAGUGUUUUGUAGUACUAUAACUGUCUGCAAGUGGUGAUUUGUACCACUCUAAUGGGCUAGUGUUUUGUAGUACUGCAAGUCUGUAACUGUCUGCAAGUGGUUAUUUGUGACUAGUUUUCCUUUUUCAAGAUAACAUCGUUGUAAUGGAGCACCACGCUAUAUGUCGGCUAACAGUCUACCAAAACAAAAUAAGUCAGAAAUCAAACAAAAAGAGAGAGAUUAAGGAAAUACCAGCUAAGAACAAAGGGGGAAGGACAUGCAUAAGAUGCGUAGCCAGAGUAUGUUGUCAAUUUGUCGAGAAGCUCUUCGAAAACCACUUUGUUAAUCAUAUUCUUUUGUCCACUGUACGCAGGUGCAACACACAUGGCCUCAAGCAUCGGAGAAUGUCCAAGCACAAAUAUGAGAAAAUCUAUGACCUUCUCCGUAAACACGACCGCCAUGUUACUACUUUAAGGUACUUGAAUGUGAAACCAGUAGUCAGUAGGGCAUUUUAACAACUUUGAGGACAUGUAGCCAGGUGUUUAAGUGUGUUCAUUCGAGUCCAAACCAAUAAAAAUGCAGAAUAGUUGCAUGUUAAUUGUAUAGUGUAAUAGUGGAACGAUAUCAAAUUUUCAGAAGUGACAAUUUAUAGAACAGUUGGUGGGCAAAAACAUACCUAUACUAAUUGUGAUAUGUAGAACAGUUGGUAGGCAACAGUGAUUGAGCCGGAGAUUUGAGCGAAUUUGGUCAGAAUCGCCAAAAUUAUUCUGAAAAUUUGGUUCAAAAGAAAGUAUUGCAAGUCCUGCUUGACGAUUUCUAACAUUUUCUAAAACUCUGCAAAAUCCUCGUGCACAUUCAAGAAAUUAAGAACUCAAUUUCAUAAACCCUAGUGUAAACCCAAUCUUUUUAUCCAAGCAAACUUUUGGAAUUUUUUUAUAAACUCAUUUUUAGGAAAAAAGACAUUUUCACGAAAUAUAUUUUUCAUAAAUUUUUAGAGCUUUUUUAUAAAAGAAUAAUUUCAAAAAUCAUUUUCUUUGAAAUUAUUUUUUACUUCUACAUUUUACAUUCUCCUCUUUGUUUAUAUGGUUAGAAAUAUAAAGAAAGUCACAUUCUUGUUUAUAAAUGUUCUUAGUAAAUAAUUCUCUACAUUUUACAUUCUCAUGUUUGUUUAUAUGGCUAGGAAUAUAAAUAAAGCCACAUUCUUCUUUAUAAAUGUUCUUGGUAAAUAAUUCAGUCCGCCUGGUUCAAACUAAAUUUUUUUUCUAGAAAACAAUCGAGACGAUAUCUAUUUUAACGGAAAAAACUGAACCAACUAAACAGAAAACAACCGAGAAGAUAUCUAUUAUAACAGAAAAAAACUGAACCAACUAAACUGUAAAAUAGAAUCUAACUGAAAUAUAAGCAGUUUAGUUUGGUUUUUGGGUUUUGCACAACUCUAACUGUCUGAAAAGAUUUACAUAAGGACCUAAUAUAAAUACAUCCUGACGCCUGAUGAAUAUCUUACUGAAGCCACAGUUCGCAGAAGUUUAGCGUUCAAGCCUAAUAAUUUCUUCAACAAUUAGAUCUUAGAACCAAAGUAGCCAAGGAAAGAAGUAAGAAAAGAAAAACAUAGUUACAGGAAUCACUUCACUGGGGGUCCAAAAAUUUAAUUUCAACAUUUGGAAAAGCUUUUCCAAGACUCAGCACUUCAUUCACUAUACUCAUUAGUCCGCGGCAAUUAUAAGGAGGUGAAACAUUCAUCAUCUGAAGCACUGGAGAACGUCCAAGCACCAAUUUGAGGAAUUCUAUUUCAUGUUCUCUAGACACCUCCGUCAUUUUUACUACUUUAAGGUGCUUAAAUGUGAAAUCAGAAGGGCAUUGUUUCUCCCAAAAAUUCAAACCAGCAGCUUUACGAUGAACAUUUUUUCUGGCCUCCUGUGUGAUCAGAAGCGAUGAAAAAAUAACUAAAGACUGAUAAAAAAAUUAUAUAAGCACAAAAAACAACAGGGCAUGUGACUUACUGAGAUUUGAAGUUCUUCUAUAUUAGGGGACUUCAAAAUCAAGUUAAGAGCAUAUAAAACUGCAUUCAUGUCUUCAAAAUUUAUUCCUCCAAGUUCGAUAAACUUCACAGAGUCAUACGUAAGUGGAACUUUUACAAGGAUGUCAUCUUCCCAAGUCUGAGCAACAGGAUCAGCCGAAAGAGGGUGAGUGUGCAUCAUUUGUUAAGUGUUAACUUAAAGAGAAAUUUAGAGACAGUUUAACACCAUUUCAUCAUCUAUCAAGUAUUAAUUAUGCUUAAAGAACUACCUUGAAGAAGAUUAUGCUUAGAGAAACCAGAAUUGGGAUAUACUCAAGAUAUACGUCUCUGAAGUUUCCAUCCAAAAUAAGAUGCUUCAUAUUUGGGGCACGGACGGAUAAAACUAGUUCAUCCAUAUUUCGAAAUUUAAAUUCCUCAAGAAGAGGGCAAAUUGAAAUAAGGUUUUCAAUAAUCUCACGAGAAACUGUACAAUGAAUUAGGUUAAGGUACUUCAGACAUGGAAAACCUUGAAAUUUCAGAGGCGGCUUCACCACAAACUUGCAAAGCUUCAAUCUUGUCAGUCCUUGACAAGAAAAUAAAUGAGAAGGCGUGGGAAUGCUAUUGAUACAGAUCCAAUUACCGCCAAGAAUUAACUCUUCAAUAUCAUUCCUUGAUAUCACACGUAGCCAUUGAUCGAUAUCAGUAGACAUUCUCAAGUAUGAAGUAGUUACUUUAAACUUAUGAAUCAGGGGGUGGGGAUCCUAGAUGAAAUACAAAUGAGUUCUGAACUCAAGCUUCUCAGUGGCCCACUACUCAUCGCAACUUCCACUGCCAAGUUAUUAGUAACUUAUAAUGUUUGGAAAAGGGAUAAAUAUCAAGUAGGUCACUCGUUUCGUCCAAAUGUAUCAAUUGGGUCACUGAUUCCCAAAUUGACUCAAAUGAGACACACAUUAGAAAAAUUUGUAUCAAAAAUAUCACUCUCUAUCGUUAGUCAAAUUUUGAAAGUAUUAUAUAUCGAGUUUCGCACAUUUUUUAUGAAUGGUACUACAUCCAAAUGAAAGAUUCCGAGUUCUACUAUUUUCACUAAUAUUUUUAGAUUUUUAAAAUUUUAUCAACUAUUUAUUUUUAAUUUUUUGAUUGUUUUAUUUGAUUUAAAUAAAAAUAAAUAGGAGAUAAAUUUUUAAAAAUCUAAAAAUAUUAUCUAAAAUACUAGAACUCAGAAUCUUUCAUUUAGAUGUAAUACCAUUCAUAAAAAAUGUGCGAAACUCAAUAUAUAAUACUUUCAAAAUUUCGACUAACGAUAGAGUAAUAUUUUUGAUACAAAUUUUUCUAAUGAGUGUCUCAUUUGAGUCAUUUGGAAAUCAGUGACUCAAUUGAUACAUUUGGACGAAACAAGUGACCUACUUGAUAUUUAUCCCGUUUGGAAAAACACCACACUGGCUCCCAUUUGGUGGACAAAAUGCUAGUUCUAUAAGAAUCCCAUAUUGGUUCUUCUAUUAAUUUGAAAUCAACAAUGCUUUGUGGCAGAUACCUGAAUUUAUCCUUCCUUGAGCCCUUGCCCAUCUUUUAAUAUCCCUGCAAAAAGCAUACAAAUUUUGAGUGUAAUCGUUGCCAUAAUAAACCAAUUUUCGAACAAUAAUGUUGUUUAAAUUCACAUAUAGCAUCUCUGUCCAAACCAUAACUAUCUAUCUUCAAGACACUGUUUCAAAAAAAAAUGAAAGAGACAAAAUGUCAAACACUUGAAACGCAAUAUAAAGCUUCCGCUCAAGCAUAUAAGUUGUAUUUUAUUUUCGAAGAAGUGGUCACUAACUACUGAACAAACAAUAUAAGUUACCCAAUUAAUGGGAGAAAAACUUAAGGACAUACCAGAUACUACUAAUGCUAUAAAAAUCUCUUUCUCCAAGUACGCCAAGCCAGAGAGAUGGAGAGGAAUAGAUACGGAAGAUUUGAAAAAAACUUGUCAAGCAACAAGGAAUUUCCAGGAUAUUCUGAUCAUGUAGAACAUUGUUUCAGUCGUUUCAAGUUGCGAAUAUCAAACUUUUGUACUCCGUAAAAGAUUUCUUUUAAUUUGUAAUUUUACUCAAAGAUGAACUAUGAAAAAAAGCAGAAUCAUAAGAAAACCAAAUUACCAAAUUGCUAUUUAUUGAAAAGAGUAUAUUGCACUUUGUAAUCCCACACUUUGACUCAUUGACAAAUCAGACCUCACACUUUGAAACGUGUUACUUUGUAACUCUAAGUUUCAUUUAGCUUUCGGUUUGUAACCAUGGCUCACACCUCCGUUAAAAACAACCGUUAACAUUAACUGUUUGAAAUGUGACAAUGUAUAUAUUAGUCUCUAAUAGAUACUUUACCCCCAUGACACCUCAAAAUUUGUGUAUUAUAUUUUAAAAUUAUUUCCGAACACACACAACGAUGUAAAAAGAUUUGAAAUAAUUUUAAAAAUAUGUAUUUAGAUUUAGAAUCUGAAUUUUUUUUACAUAAACGAUGUAACUUUUUUUAAAAUUUUAAAAUAAAUACAUAUUUAAAAAAUUAUUUUAAAAUUUUUUUACAUCGUUGUGUGUGUUCAGAAAUAAUUUCAAAAUAUAAUACAUAAACUUUUAGGGGUCACACGAGUUAAAGUGGUAGAAAGUAAUAUACAUACUGCCAACUCUCAAACAGUUAAAGUUAAUGGCCGUUUUUAACGGAUGUGUGAGCCAGGGUUACAAAUCGAAAACUAAAUGAAACUUAGAGUUACAAAAUAUCACGUUUCAAAAUGUGGGAUCUGAUUUGCUAAUGAGCCAAAGUCUGGGGUUCCAAAAUGCAAUAUACUCAUCCGAAAACUGUUUCGAAAUUUUCACGCUCAUAAUAACGGGAUCAUGAUAUUCCUAUCAACUAUCUAAUUAUAAUUAGCCAUCCGUCUGUCAAAUUGUUUGGAAACAAAUUUGAAAACAAAAUUUGGAUAGUACGCACCAAGAUAUAUAAUGAUGGACAUGAAAAUGUGUACAUAAAAACAGCAAAUGUUUAAAAAGAAUUGAUAAUUUCAUUAAACCCAAACAAAAUUAUAUGACUGGUAAUCAGAAUUCAGUUGGAAAAAUGCUAAAAACUGGCUCCUAGUUAUUAUCUCGAAUGGGUGAAACAUAUAUUAUAAGCUUAACCCAAACAUGCAAAUUCUCUGCUUUAUGCAAAAAACACAAAAUAUAAGAAUAAAAAAUAAAAUAACUCCCUUGUUUGUACAAAAGGAGUAAAAUAGCAGGUAAUAUAGUUAUACAUCCACAAGAACUGAAAGUCUUCUGAAAUCCAUAAUUUGCAAAAGAAAGGAAAUGCUGCGAUAAGAUGACUAGUGAAACAAAGACAUGGAUAAAGAUGACUAGUCAAACAAAUGCAGUUGGAUAUUGGCAGAAGCUUGUUGAAGACGCGACAAUUCAGCAUCUGAUAUAUCAUCAAAAGAUUCAAGUUUGAUGCACAUCUUCUCAAGCACUGGGGAUCGUCCAAGCACAAAUAUGAGGAAUGCUAUGUCGAUUCUGCUGCACGAGUAAUCCAUAUUUACUAUUUUGAGGUGCUUGAAGGUGAAAUCAGUAGGAAAUUCUCUCUCCCAAAAAUCCAUACCAGCAGCAUUCUGAUGAUUAAGACAUUUAAAGUCUCCAGCCUAUUGUGAUCAAAAGGGAUAAUAGAUAUUAAACACGAGCCCAAGCAUAUAAUAUUGAACAGGCAAAUGUAAGCACCAAUUAACAGCACAUGUGACUUACUAGUAUAUGAAGUUCUUGCAGAUUAGGAGACUGCAAAAGCAACUGACGAACAUACGAGACUUGCUUCAUCUCUUCAAAAUUUAUUUCCCCAAGCGAAAUAACCUUUAGACAGUUAUGUGUUACUGGAACUCUCACAGGCACACUAUCUUCCCAUUGCUGAGCAAAAGGUACAAUAGUCAGAGUGAGGGUACAAAAAGAGCAAAAAAUUUAUCAAUAUUAAGGUUAGAGAUUAUAAAAAUUGAUAACACCUUUUCCCUCUAUAUUGAAUUUACAAAAAUAAUUGGAAAUACUUUUAGCAGUUUACCAGUGAAGUGAAGUCUAAUAUUAAAUGAACCAGAGACGGAGUAUGCUCAAGAUAUAUGUAUUUAAAUAUCCCUCUCACAGUAAGAUGCUUCAGAUUUGGGGAGCAGACGGUCAAAGCUAGAUUGUCUCCAUUACUAAAUUUAAACUUCUCAAGCAGAGGGCAACCUGUUAUAAGGUUUUCAAUAACCUCAAUAGUAACCUCGCCGCCAAAAAGGUUUAGGUACUUCAAACAGGGAAAUCCUUGAAAUCCCAAAGGAGGCUCCACUUUAAACCGAUAAAGCUUCAAUCUGGUCAGUUUUUGACAAGAAAAUAUACAAGAAGGUGUGCGGAAA
rnacentral:lncRNA from 1 species